rnacentral:misc_RNA from 1 species
UCAUCAAAAUACUUCACAAAGCUGUGUGUGUUUCCAUAGAAGAAAAAUUCAAUAUUAGUGAAGUCGGGUGUCCUCAUACCAAAGAGACAAUUGCAAAUACAAAAGAGUGAAGAUAGUCUGGCACCAAUACAACCAACGAUGUCUGAAGGAAGUGAGUGCUCGGAUGAGCAACCGCCGAAAGCUCAGGCCAGUAAAACUGCAGCGGAAAACAUGUCGACCGAUUCUAAGCAGCGAAUUCAGGUGCCCGAGGCGUUGAGAGAGGUGCUCUUGGAGUUUUCCAUAGCGUAUCUGCUGGAACAGCCCGGAGAUGUGGUCGAUUAUGCAGUACAGUAUUUCAAUAAAUUGCAGUCGAAUCGCCAGGCAGCUGCAAAUUUCUAUCGUCCAGAUUCUCCAGAGAGCAGCAUCAUAUCACAGGAAGAAGAGCCAGUUCGCCGUUUUACCACACGCCGCAAAUCCGUAUUUGCCGAAGCCUAUGAUCCAGAAAACGACGCCGACGAUGACGAGGCCGAACGCAAGGUCUAUCCCAAAUCGGAUGAGCAGCGUGCACGUCUAACCGAUUCGGUGAAGAAUGUACUGUUGUUCCGUUCGUUGGACGAUGAGCAGAUGAAUCAAGUAUUGGACGCCAUGUUCGAGAAGCGAGUGCAGCCGGACGAGUUCAUCAUUCGCCAGGGCGAUGACGGCGAUAAUUUCUAUGUUAUUGAGUCUGGAGUUUACAAAGUAAUUUGUAAUGGUGAUCAUAUUUUCACCUACGACAAUACUGGAAUAUUCGGUGAAUUGGCAUUGCUCUACAACGUACCAAGAGCCGCCUCCAUACAGGCUGUCACAGAGGGCCUACUCUGGGCCAUGGACCGUCAAACGUUCCGCCGCAUUCUAUUGAAGUCCGCUUUCAAAAAGCGAAAAAUGUACGAGACGCUAUUGGACAGUGUACCAAUGUUGAAAGCGUUGAAGUCCUAUGAGCGCAUGAAUUUGGCCGAUGCAUUGGUUUCCAAGCACUUCUCCAGUAAUGAGAGAAUCAUCAAACAAGGUGACGUCGCUGAUGGCAUGUACUUCAUAGAGGAUGGCAAUGUUUCGGUGAAAAUGGAUCAAGACGGCAAGGAGAUAGAGAUUUCGCGCCUAGGUAAAGGUCAAUAUUUCGGCGAGUUGGCUUUGGUUACACACCGACCACGCGCUGCUUCCGUCUAUGCCGAUGGGGAUGUCAAAGUUGCAUUCUUGGAGGUGCGAGCAUUCGAGCGCUUGCUGGGCCCGUGCAUGGAGAUCAUGAAGCGCAACAUUGACGACUACGAGACGCAGCUUAUCAAAAUCUUUGGCACCAAAAACAACAUUAGCGAUACACGAUAAAAAGUCUGAGUUCCAAGCAAACACACACACAACUAAGAAUACACACACGCACACACACACUGACCGCCACGAGCGCUCACGUGCGAAGUUCAUAUACACAACAACAACUACAAGAACUACAACUACAACAAUGUCACUCUAAAAGCGGUGGCAAUAUAAAUCUACUAAUAAUAUCAUUAAUAAUUUAAUUAAAAACCAACUGAAGCUGCAGCAGACGCCAUUAGUACGUGUAGUUAGGAAUACAGCAACAGCAACAGCAGCGGCAGCAUCAGCAACAACAGUAACAACAUUAAGAGCAGCGCACUCAAAUACAAUAGUCAAUCAUGUUAAAAGUCAAAGAAAGGGAGAACCAAUCACUAAAGUAACAACAGAAACAGAAACAGAAUUUACAAAUGCAUCAAGUGUAACAGCAACAACAACUAAAACAGCAUAGCAUAAUACUAGACCAAAACAAGUCCAUGUUUAUUCACAAAACAUAUUGAAUUUUUGUAAAAUGGGAAGUAGUGGUGGGUGUGAGCCAGGCGCUUGAGAACUUUUCUUUUGCUUACAAACAUACAUAUACACACUGCUUUUCUGCCAAUCUAAAGCAAAAGCUUUGGAAAACAAAAACAACAAAUAUAAGUAAAAACAGUUAAUUUAAAUGCUUAAACGCUGCUCUCGCAACCAGAGCAAAAAGAAGAAGAAGAAUAAGAAGUAAGCGAACACACGAAGUCUCAGCACAGUGAGCCGCCGAGGCGAAUAUAAACCUUAAAGAGUAAAUAGUUAAAAGCAACAAAAAGUAAAAACAAAACAAAACAAAACCAAACAUAAACAUAUUUAUUAGUGUAAUUAAAAGUUUCAGCGAUGCAGGCCAUUACGAGAUUGUUAAUGAGAGAACUAGAGAACUAGAGGCGGGAGAAAGCAAAAUACAAUA